rnacentral:rRNA from 1 species
UAGAGUUUGAUCCUGGCUCAGGACGAACGCUGGCGGCGUGCCUAAUACAUGCAAGUCGAACGCUUCUUUUCCCACCGGAGCUUGCUCCACCGGGAAAAGAGGAGUGGCGAACGGGUGAGUAACACGUGGGUAACCUGCCCAUCAGAAGGGGAUAACACUUGGAAACAGGUGCUAAUACCGUAUAACAAUCGAAACCGCAUGGUUUCGUUUUGAAAGGCGCUUUACGGUGCCGCUGAUGGAUGGACCCGCGGUGCAUUAGCUAGUUGGUGAGGUAACGGCUCACCAAGGCCACGAUGCAUAGCCGACCUGAGAGGGUGAUCGGCCACAUUGGGACUGAGACACGGCCCAAACUCCUACGGGAGGCAGCAGUAGGGAAUCUUCGGCAAUGGACGAAAGUCUGACCGAGCAACGCCGCGUGAGUGAAGAAGGUUUUCGGAUCGUAAAACUCUGUUGUUAGAGAAGAACAAGGGUGAGA